UACAGAGGGUGCUAGCGUUGUUCGGAAUCAUUGGGCGUAAAGGGCGUGUAGGCGGUUUGUUAAGUCAUGUGUGAAAUCCCUCGGCUCAACCGGGGAACGACGCAUGAAACUGGCAGCUAGAGUACCAAAGAGGGGGUGGAAUUCCGGUGUAGCGGUGAAUGCGUAGAUAUCGGGAGGAACACCUGUGGCGAAGGCGGCCCCUGGUGGAUACUGACGCUGAGACGCGAAAGCGUGGGAGCAACAGGG
rnacentral:rRNA from 1 species